rnacentral:rRNA from 1 species
UAAGACGUAGGAGGCGAGCGUUAUCCGGAUUCACUGGGCGUAAAGCGCAUGUAGGCGGUUUGUUAAGUCCGGUGUUAAAGCCCCUGGCUCAACUGGGGGAGGUCAUUGGAGACUAACAGACUUGAGGGCAACAGAGGCACGUGGAACUCCCGGUGUAGCGGUGGAAUGCGUAGAGAUCGGGAAGAACACCAGUGGCGAAGGCGACGUGCUGGGUUGCAACUGACGCUGAGAUGCGAAAGUGUGGGGAGCAAACGGG